AGUGGGGAAUAUUGGACAAUGGGCGAAAGCCUGAUCCAGCAAUGCCGCGUGAGUGAUGAAGGCCUUAGGGUUGUAAAGCUCUUUUACCCGGGAUGAUAAUGACAGUACCGGGAGAAUAAGCCCCGGCUAACUCCGUGCCAGCAGCCGCGGUAAUACGGAGGGGGCUAGCGUUGUUCGGAAUUACUGGGCGUAAAGCGCGCGUAGGCGGCUUUGUAAGUUAGAGGUGAAAGCCCGGAGCUCAACUCCGGAACUGCCUUUAAGACUGCAUCGCUAGAACGUCGGAGAGGUAAGUGGAAUUCCGAGUGUAGAGGUGAAAUUCGUAGAUAUUCGGAAGAACACCAGUGGCGAAGGCGACUUACUGGACGACUGUUGACGCUGAGGUGCGAAAGCGUGGGGAGCAAA
rnacentral:rRNA from 1 species